AUGGAUUCCAUCAUGGCUAACGGGACAUGGGAGAUCACUGAGCGUCCCUAUGGUUGCAAACCAUUGGGAUGUAAGUGGGUGUUCAAGAAAAAGCUUAGGCCCGAUGGUACGAUUGAAAAGUACAAGGCCAGGCUUGUGGCCAAGGGCUAUGACCAGAAAGAAGAGGAAGAUUUCGUCGAUACUUAUUCACCUGUGGCUAGACUGACCACCAUUCGAGUAUUACUCUCGUUGGCGGCCUCACAUGGUCUUCUCGUCCAUCAAAUGGAUGUUAAGACGGCUUUUCUAAAUGGAGAGCUAAAUGAGGAAAUCUACAUGCAAUAG
rnacentral:rRNA from 1 species